GGAGGAGUAGCGAAGUGGCUAAACGCGACGGUCUGUAAAAUCGUUCUCUCUGAGUUCGGCGGUUCGAAUCCACCCUCCUCCA
rfam:Lactobacillus pasteurii DSM 23907 = CRBIP 24.76, type strain:CRBIP 24.76, WGS project CAKD01000000 data, contig: 26